AUUAACUUUGCGAACAUGAUAAGCAAGAACCUAAUUCCCCACACCUUCCAACUUCAAAAAGGAAUGUAUUGACUCAUUCAUUAUAUAAGGAAACUUGGCCCUUCCCUUCCUCUUCGCCAAGACAACAUCCAUCUAUAGAUCUAUUUGUUCAUCGCAAAUAUAAUCGAUGGAGAAACAUACAGAUCAAUGGGGGUACAGUGAACAGGACAGGUUGGCGACAAUGGUGGGGAACAACAAGAAGAGCGGCGGGGGCGGCGGUGGAUGGAAGAAGGGAGUGGAGAAGACGAAAGUGGCGGCGACGUCGGGGUUCAGGAAGGUGAAGGAGAGCACAUCCACCGGAGUCAACUGGAUCAAGGAUAAGUACCAGCAAACCACCAGGAAACACUGAUUCAACUAAUUGUAUGUAACAAGGUAGCAGAUAGAGGUAAUGUGGAGUUGUUGGGAGAUCUUGUCCGCCAGUGCCAUGUCUCGUCGAGAUCUUUCCACAUUUGGUUUGCAUUUUGAUUCUACUUUAGACUUUUGGACUUGUUUCUAUAAUAAUUCACUUGUAUGUGAAUUUUGAGUCUGGUUGGGUAUUUGUUUCCGGUAUUUAUAUUUGUUGUGUUUAAGUUAUGUUGGCACGCGAUCUGUUUUGGUUUUACUAUGUGUGGUUGAUGUUUAUCAUGAGUGGUUUGUGUUUGCAUA